UACGGGGGGAGCAAGCGUUGUUCGGAUUUACUGGGCGUAAAGGGCGCGUAGGCGGCGCAACAAGUCACUUGUGAAAUCUCCGGGCUUAACCCGGAGCGGCCAAGUGAUACUGUCGUGCUAGAGUGCGGAAGGGGCUACUGGAAUUCUCGGUGUAGCGGUGAAAUGCGUAGAUAUGCGGAGGAACACCGAUGGCGAAGGCAAUCCCCUGGGCCUGCACUGACGCUCAUGCACGAAAGCGUGGGGAGCAAACAGG
rnacentral:rRNA from 1 species